GAUGAAGAACGUAGUGAAAUGCGAUAAGUAAUGUGAAUUGCAGAAUUCAGUGAAUCAUCGAAUCUUUGAACGCACAUUGCGCCCCUUGGUAUUCCGAGGGGCAUGCCUGUUCGAGCGUCAUUAUAACCCCUCAAGCUCAGCUUGGUGUUGGGGCCUGCUGCACUGGCAGCCCUUAAAAUCAGUGGCGGCGCCAUCUGGCUCUAAGCGUAGUAAUUCUUCUCGCUAUGGAGUCCUGGUGGAUGCUUGCCAUCAACCCCCAAUUUUUCUAUGGUUGACCUCGGAUCAGGUAGGGAUACCCGCUGAACUUAAGCAUAUCAAUAAGCGGAGG
rnacentral:misc_RNA from 1 species